GAUGAAGAACGCAGCGAAAUGCGAUAAGUAGUGUGAAUUGCAGAAUUCAGUGAAUCAUCGAAUCUUUGAACGCACAUUGCGCCCCUUGGUAUUCCAUGGGGCAUGCCUGUUCGAGCGUCAUUUGUACCUUCAAGCUUUGCUUGGUGUUGGGUGUUUGUCCCGAGGGACUCGCCUUAAAGUAAUUGGCAGCCAGUGUUUGGUUUUGAAGCGCAGCACAAGUCGCGAUUCAAGGCUACACGCCCGCUUCCACAAGCCUUUUUUCACUUUUGACCUCGGAUCAGGUAGGGAUACCCGCUGAACUUAAGCAUAUCAAUAACGGAGGA
rnacentral:misc_RNA from 1 species